CUCCUAUCUGGGGCGGACGGUUCCCGAGGCCAAGCCGGAGGGAUUAAUAGGGAACACGGUGAGGACGACCCGAACGGGGCCGAAACCGUGGCUGCCCCCGCAACCCCGCAACUG
rnacentral:ncRNA from 2 species